rnacentral:rRNA from 1 species
UGAGGAAUAUUGGGCAAUGCCCGCAAGGGUGACCCAGCAACGCCGCGUGGAGGAUGAAUGUCGUAAGAUUGUAAACUCCUGUUAGAGGGGAAGAAUAGUACCGGUUGGACCGGUAUAUGACUGUACCCUCAGAGAAAGCCCCGGCUAACUACGUGCCAGCAGCCGCGGUAAUACGUAGGGGGCAAGCGUUGUCCGGAUUUACUGGGUGUAAAGGGCGCGCAGGCGGGAUAAAAAGUCAGUGGUGAAAUCCUACAGCCUAACUGUAGAACUGCCUUUGAUACUUUUAUUCUUGAGUUCGGGAGAGAGAGACGGAAUUCCAGGUGUAGUGGUGAAAUACGUAGAUAUCUGGAAGAACACCAGUUGCGAAGGCGGUCUCUUGGUCCGACACUGACGCUGAGGCGCGAAAGCGUGGGGAGCGAACA